rnacentral:rRNA from 1 species
AUUGAACGCUGGCGGAAUGCUUUACACAUGCAAGUCGGACGGCAGCACGGACUUCGGUCUGGUGGCGAGUGGCGAACGGGUGAGUAAUGUAUCGGAACGUGCCCAGUCGGGGGGGAUAACGUAGUGAAAAUUACGCUAAUACCGCAUACGAUCUAUGGAUGAAAGCGGGGGAUCGCAAGACCUCGCGCGAUUGGAGCGGCAGAUAUCAGAUUAGGUAGUUGGGGGGGUAAAGGCCCACCAAGACAACGAUCUGUAGCGGGUCUGAGAGGACGACCAGGCACACUGGAACUGAGACACGGUCCAGACUCCUACGGGAGGCAGCAGUGGGGAGUUUUGGACAAUGGGCGAAAGCCUGAUCCAGCCAUUCCGCGUGCAGGAUGAAGGCCCUCGGGUUGUAAACUGCUUUUGUACAGAACGAAAAGGUUUCUACUAAUACUAGGAGCUCAUGACGGUACUGUAAGAAUAAGCACCGGCUAACUACGUGCCAGCAGCCGCGGUAA